rnacentral:tRNA from 1 species
GGAAAGGUGCUCGAGUGGUUGAAGAGGCACGCCUGGAAAGCGUGUAUUCCCCUAAAGGGAAUCGCAGGUUCGAAUCCUGUUCUUUCCGC